GAGGUUCUACGCCGACGCCUUCAGGAGGGAUUCACAGAGGCCAUGGUGAGGAUGGCCAGCUUGAGUCGGCUCACCGGGAGCAGCGCGAGAUCCGCUACAACUAAAUGAUAGGAGGUUUCGCUGCCAUUUGCAGCGACUGUGUUCCAGUUCGACCGUUUGGGGAAAAGGCAAGGAAACAGGAUCUGUCACGGAAGGCGAUUCCCAUUUCUCAGUGAUGUCGAUGUCCUGUACUCCUGUAUAUUUGGAUUCAACAAUAUGCCAUUAGUAUGCUGUCAAGCGUCCUAUUUGCAAGAGAUAAAUGGCUUACGCCCGAGGGGCUUAUUCUUCCUUAUCAUGUGCAUUGGUGCCACAACACUGGAUGAGUAUAGGAAGCAUAUAGAGAAAGAUCCUGCCUUGGAAAGAAGGUUUCAACCAGUUAAGGUUCCAGAGCCUACUAUGGAUGAAACAAUACAGAUCUUAAGAGGACUUCGUGAGAGAUAUGAACUUCAUCACAAACUGAGAUACACAGAUGAUGCUUUAAUUGCUGCUGCACAGCUGUCUUAUCAGUAUAUCAGCGAUCGUUUUCUGCCUGACAAAGCCAUUGACUUGAUUGAUGAAGCUGGAUCUCGUGUUAGGCUGAGGCAUGCGCAGCUCCCUGAUGAAGCCAAAGAGCUGGACAAAGAGCUGCGGCAGAUAAGCAAGCAGAAAAAUGAGGCUGUACGUGGCCAAGAUUUUGAGAAGGUAUACUGUUGUUUGGCACAGCGGUGACAAAGCCGAUCCGCUCCCACCUCUCUAGCAACGUCGAUAUGGUUAAUACCAAGCAUUAUGUUGUUUCCUUUUGAGAUAAAUAUUUUGUUACUGAUUUUACCUUUUGUCUCCUCUUCUUGUUUUUUGUUCUAGAAUCUGUAGCAAAUGGCUAACGAUGAGGAUAUCCAUUACUUUGUUUAUGACAA